GACGAACGCUGGCGGCGUGCUUAACACAUGCAAGUCGAACGCGGAAGCCCAGCUUUUGUUGGGUGGAUGAGUGGCGAACGGGUGAGUAACACGUGAGUAACCUGCCUCCUUCUUUGGGAUAACGCCCGGAAACGGGUGCUAAUACUGGAUAUUCACUGGUCUUUGCAUGGGGGUUGGUGGAAAGCGCGUUUCUGGAGGCGGAUGGGCUCGGGGCGUAUCAGCUUGUGGGUGGGGUGAUGGCCUACCUAGGCUUUGACGGGUAGCAGGCCUGAGAGGGUGACCGGUCAGAUAGGGACAGCGACACGGCCGAGACUGAGACACGGGGCAGAAGUGGACGAGAGGGCACAGUGGGCGAUAGCGCAAUGCAGCGGCGACGCGUGAGGGAUGGCGGCCUGCGAAUUGAGAAGCUCUUUCGUACAUAGUCAAGCCUCAACAAUGAUUGUGGUGAGGGUACUGGGUAAAGAAGCGCCGGCUAACUACGUG
rnacentral:rRNA from 1 species